AUUGAACGCUGGCGGCAGGCCUAACACAUGCAAGUCGAGCGGAGCGGCGGACGGGUGAGUAAUGCCUCGGAAUCUGACUGGUAGUGGGGGAUAACGUCCGGAAACGGGCGCUAAUACCGCCUCCUUUUAGAUGAGACUAGGUCGGAUUAGCUAGGUGGGGGGGUAAAGGCCUACAAAGGCGACGAUCCGUAACUGGUCUGAGAGGAUGAGAAGUCACACUGGAACUGAUACACGGUCCAGACUCCGACGGGAGGCAUCAGUGGAGAAUAUUGGACAAUGGGCGAAAGCCUGAACCAGCCAUGACGCGUGUGUGAAGAAGGUAUUCGGAUUGUAAAGCACUUUAAGUUGGGGGGCGGUACCAACAGAAUAAGCACCGGCUAACUACGUGCCAGCCGCCGCGGUAAUUC
rnacentral:rRNA from 1 species